rnacentral:rRNA from 1 species
ACGUAGGGUGCGAGCGUUGUCCGGAAUUAUUGGGCGUAAAGGGCUCGUAGGCGGUCUGUCACGUCGGGAGUGAAAACACGGGGCUUAACCCCGUGCCUGCUUCCGAUACGGGCAGACUAGAGGUAUGCAGGGGAGAACGGAAUUCCUGGUGUAGCGGUGAAAUGCGCAGAUAUCAGGAGGAACACCGGUGGCGAAGGCGGUUCUCUGGACCGGUUCUGACGCUGAGGCGCGAAAGCGUGGGGAGCAAACGGGA